rnacentral:misc_RNA from 1 species
UUUUAGCAUUUUUUUAGCGUACUGACUUAUCCGACUAUGGUCACACGCAGGCGCCAUGCGGAAAUGGGAUACGAAUACUCAAAAGACUGCAAAAACAUUGAACGACUUAGGAGAUAACAUACAUUUGGUUUACAUAUAUUAAUAAUUAAUAAUUAAUUGGCUUUUUUCUUUUCUAUCUUUUCAGGUGGUCGCUGGAAUCCAUGAGGGUCCAAUUGGGAUGAAGCAUCGGGCUGGAGAUCGUCGUCAAGUGGGGCGUAGGAGAGGAGGGAAGCGCAGCCAGUCCAGCUGCCUGACCCCCUCCCGUCUGCAGCGCCAUCCAGUUGUUGCAGUAGUCGUGGGGUCGUUAAUUGGAAACCUUCUAUGGAUGCUUCGCCGUUUUUAAGAUAAGUGCAUUUUGUGUUGUUUUCCGUUUUGUUAUUUGUUGUUUAAUUUUGUUAAUUUGUGAGUUCUUUUUAUUUUUCUCGUUGCAGGUCAGCUUAUUAUCAUCUCCAGGGGCAGAUAGAAGCGUCGUUAGUCAUCCUCGUCAAGUUUGUUGCCGUUUUUCAGGUGAGUAUGUAUUUUAAGUUUUUGCUAGUUAUGGUUUAGUUAUUAAUUAGAUGAAUUUUUGAUCUUUCUCUUUGCAGGUAAGCUUAUUAACUUCUAUAAGGGCAGAUAAAAGCAUCGCUGUUCAUCCUCGUCGAAUUUUGGCCGUUUUGCAGGUGAGUGUAUAUUGUGAACUUUUGCUCAAUUCAAAGUAGUUAUUAAUUAGAUGAUUCUUUAUACUUUUCUCGUUUCAGGUAGGUUUAUUAGCGUCUCCAGGGACAGUUAAAAACAUCGCUGAUCAUCUUCGUUGGAUUUUUGGCCGCUUUGCAGGUAGGUUUAUUAGCGC